GACGAACGCUGGCGGCGUGCUUAACACAUGCAAGUCGAACGAAGACGAUGGAAGCUUGCUUCUAUCAAUCUUAGUGGCGAACGGGUGAGUAACGGCGUAAUCAACCUGCCCUUCAGAGGGGGACAACAGUUGGAAACGACUUGCUAAUACCGCAUACGAUCUAAUCUCGGCAUCGAGGAUAGAUGAAAGGUGGCCUCUACAUGUAAGCUAUCACUGAAGGAGGGGAUUGCGUCUGAUUAGCUAGUUGGAGGGGUAACGGCCCACCAAGGCGAUGAUCAGUAGCCGGUCUGAGAGGAUGAACGGCCACAUUGGGACUGAGACACGGCCCAGACUCCUACGGGAGGCAGCAGUGGGGAAUCUUCCGCAAUGGACGAAAGUCUGACGGAGCAACGCCGCGUGAGUGAUGACGGCCUUCGGGUUGUAAAGCUCUGUUAAUCGGGACGAAAGGCCUUCUUGCGAACAGUUAGAAGGAUUGACGGUACCGGAAUAGAAAGCCACG
rnacentral:rRNA from 1 species